rnacentral:rRNA from 1 species
GAUGAACGCUGGCGGCGUGCCUAAUACAUGCAAGUCGAGCGAUCAGACGAGGAGCUUGCUCCUCUUAGGUUAGCUGCGGACGGGUGAGUAACACGUGGAUAACCUACCUUUAAGACUGGGAUAACUUCGGGAAACGGGAGCUAAUACCGGAUAAUAUAGUGAACCACAUGGUUCAUUAUUGAAAGACGGAUUUGCUGUAACUUAUAGAUGAAUUCGCGCGGCUUUAGCAAGUUGGUAGGUUAACGGAUUACUAAGGCAACGAUGCUUAGCCGCCCUAAGAGGUGGACGGCCAACCUUGGAACUGAGCCACGGCCAAGCUCCCUCGGGAAGGAACCAGAAGGGAACCUCGCGCAAUGGGCGAAAGCUUGACGGACAACCGCCGCGGGAGUGAUGAAGGUCUUCGGAUCGUAAAACUCUGUUAUAGGGGAAGACGAAAUGUGUAAGUAACUGUGCACGUCGUGACGGUACCUUAUCAGAAAGCCACGGCUAACUACGUG